rnacentral:sRNA from 1 species
ACAACAGUUCGGGAGAAAUGAAGUGCUCUAUUUACCUACAUCACAGUUACAGAAUGGGCAGCAGCAGUGCAAGCUUCUUCACCCGCCAACGUGCCUCAGUGAGGUUUGAUUGUUAGAGGGUAAUUCAUGCAUCUUGCCCAUUUGCUCCAUUGCCCCU